GUCUAUGAACAUAUUAUGCUGAACGUUCCCCAUCUGGUCUGAUCUCAGAAGCUAAGCAGGCCUGGUUAGUACUUGGAUGGGAGAAUAUGUCAAUAUUUAGUUCUUUCACU
ensembl:rRNA 5S_rRNA 5S ribosomal RNA